rnacentral:lncRNA from 1 species
UCCAUCUCCAUCUCCAUCUCCAUCCCUGCUAGCACCGUCGAUUACACCUAUCGCUGAACCAUUCCCAUCUCCAUUUCCGCUAGCACCAUCGACAACCCCUAUUGUUGAACCCUUUCCAUCUCCAUUGCCGCCAAUUGCUGAACCAUUUCCGUCACUAUCGCCUUCACCAUCACCAAUUACACCUAUCGCUGAACCAUUCCCAUCUCCAUUUUCUCUAGCACCAUCGACAACCCCUAUUGUUGAACCCUUUCCAUCUCCAUUGCCACCAAUUGCUGAACCAUUUCCAUCACUAUCGCCUCUACCAUCACCAAUUACACCUAUCGCUGAACCAUUCCCAUCUCCAUUUCCGCUAGCACCAUCGACAACCCCUAUUGUUGAACCCUUUCCAUCUCCAUUGCCACCAAUUGCUGGACCAUUUCCAUCGCUAUCGCCUCCACAAUCACCAAUUACACCUACCACUCAACCAUUUCCAUCUUUAUCUCCUCCUUCACCAUUAAUUGCAC